CGGUGAAAUGCGCAGAUAUCGGGAGGAACACCGGUGGCGAAGGCGGUUCUCUGGGCCUGUCCUGACGCUGAGGAGCGAAAGCGUGGGGAGCGAACAGGAUUAGAUACCCUGGUAGUCCACGCCGUAAACGUUGGGCGCUAGGUGUGGGGUCCUUCCACGGAUUCCGUGCCGCAGCUAACGCAUUAAGCGCCCCGCCUGGGGAGUACGGCCGCAAGGCUAAAACUCAAAGGAAUUGACG
rnacentral:rRNA from 1 species